rnacentral:rRNA from 1 species
UCAGGACGAACGCUGGCGGCGUGCUUAACACAUGCAAGUCGAACGGAAAGGCCCUUUCGGGGGUGCUCGAGUGGCGAACGGGUGAGUAACACGUGGGUGAUCUGCCCUGCACUUUGGGAUAAGCCUGGGAAACUGGGUCUAAUACCGAAUACACCCUGCUGGUCGCAUGGCCUGGUGGGGGAAAGCUUUUGCGGUGUGGGAUGGGCCCGCGGCCUAUCAGCUUGUUGGUGGGGUGAUGGCCUACCAAGGCGACGACGGGUAGCCGGCCUGAGAGGGUGUCCGGCCACACUGGGACUGAGAUACGGCCCAGACUCCUACGGGAGGCAGCAGUGGGGAAUAUUGCACAAUGGGCGCAAGCCUGAUGCAGCGACGCCGCGUGGGGGAUGACGGCCUUCGGGUUGUAAACCUCUUUCACCAUCGGCGAAGCCUUAUGCUUUUGUGUGGGGUGACGGUAGGUGGAGAAGAAGCACCGGCCAACUACGUGCCAGCAGCCGCGGUAAUACGUAGGGUGCGAGCGUUGUCCGGAAUUACUGGGCGUAAAGAGCUCGUAGGUGGUUUGUCGCGUUGUCCGUGAAAUUCCCUGGCUUAACUGGGGGCGUGCGGGCGAUACGGGCAGACUGGAGUACUGCAGGGGAGACUGGAAUUCCUGGUGUAGCGGUGGAAUGCGCAGAUAUCAGGAGGAACACCGGUGGCGAAGGCGGGUCUCUGGGCAGUAAC